rnacentral:lncRNA from 1 species
AUGAUUUGCCCUCAGACGUGCAGGAAAAGCGAUGGGAGGCAGAAUUUUUGUGCUGGCAACCUUGGGCACCAUCAGGGGACAAGCCCUGCCCCGAGCUGCCUGCAGCUCGCCCCGGUGCCCUUCCCCUCCCUGCUGCUCCUCCCAGCCCCUCGCUCCUUUUCCAGGUUAGAAAUCCAGGACGCUGCCGGAUGCGCUGGAGGAAGGUGGGGGAAAGGCAGCCAAACCUGGCGGGCUCAGGAGGUUAUUUCUGGCCGGGCUCAGUGCCGCGCUCGCUACCUUUCGCUGCCUCCUUCCCACCUCCCACGGCCCCGCUGCAGCUGGGGCGGAGGAGCCAGCGCCAGCCCCGCGGUGAUGGGGGCAGGAGGCAGAGCUGAUGGCAGCUCCUGGAGGCUGCGUGCCAGCACAGGAGGGUUAGUGGGUUGGAAAAAUAUGUCCAGGAGUGUCAGUGGGACCUUCCUCCCCCUCGCUGCUUCGCCCCACGCCUCGAUCCUUGAGCUGGGUGAGGGUCUGGGCGAACCGAGCGCAUCCCCAUCGCCUCCAGGCAGGCUCUGUGGUGUGAAUGGAGAGCCUGGCUUCUGGUUUUUACGCUUUUCUCAUGAUUUCUGCUGUGUUCCCAUGGCUCCAGCUGCCGGGACAGCCGGGGGAGCAGCUGGCAGCGCGCUCAGCCCCGGUGCCACACACUUGCCCGAGCAAAAGCUGCGAGCGAAGGGAGCCGGCAGUGUGGGGGCUGCUCCAAAAAACCAUUUCCUGAGCGUGCCGAGGUUCGCUCCCCACGGGGGAAAUCUCGGUGCUGGGCAGGACGAUGCUCUCCUCGCUUCCCCAGCGAGGAUUUGGGCUCAGCAUCCUCCAUGGCGAGGGGCCGCGGGGGCCUCCGGAGCGGCACGGCCGGCGCCGGGCGGGCUGUGGGGCUGGAGGCACGUGUAUUUGUGGCAGGCAGAAAGUAAACGCUGUCACUUCAUAUUACCAAGUGAACGCUGUCACUUCGCGUUACGGUCCCGCUCGCCUGCGCUCGGGUGCUGGCAGCCGCAGCCCGGCCCUGGCCUCGCUGCAACACGAGCCCCGGCGGCACGGCCAAGCACAGCGCCGGCCAAACCGAGCAGCCCGGGCUUGGCUGGGGAGGUUCUUGCACAACCUCCAGCCAGGCCCCUCUCCUCACCACUUUUUGCCCUCCGAGGGGGAUCUGCAGGGCUUUCUGCUGGGUUUGGCAUCGAAUGGGGGCUGCUGAGCAGAUAA